rnacentral:misc_RNA from 1 species
AAACUCUUGGUCCACAUAACCCUUUCCUCAAAUUUUCUCUCAUCUUAAAGAAGAACAAAGGCAGAUGGCUGCUGUAAUCGAGUAGCUUCAAGUGCAAGACAAGUUUACAAUUGUUUCCUUCCAUUUCAUCUUAUUUCAUGUUUUUUCUUUUUCUAUUCUUCUAAUCAAUUUGCUUUAAUUCUUUGGAUAUUAAGGCAGUAGAAAUGUCCCACCUCUUUUGAAUUGAAAUCCCUAGGCUUGUUAGCAAUGGAGUGGGGAUCCAACACUGAAAUAGAGCUUUAACUUCUUUAUGUAUUUAGGGUUUUAUAAAAUUAAUCAAAAAAUUAGAGCCUUAUUUACAUUGAUGAAAGUGGAAAUAGGGAUUUUGCUAUAGCUCAAAGAAUGUUCUUGUUCUGUUUGCCAAUUGAACCAAAUAUCUGCUUUAAUGGGUUGCUCUUUUGUUUUUUUUAACCAAUUGAACCAAAUAUUUGCUUUACCAAUUCCUUCCUUGUUUUUGUGUUUGUCCUUUUUGGAUUUGAUGAAAAGGAAGAAUAGAGCAACAUGGAAACUGUAACAAGAACUUUAUUUCUCUCAAAUUCAAUUUAAAUGCUUGCAAAACCUGAUGUAUAGAGCUC